rnacentral:sRNA from 2 species
AUUCUGCCUAAGCGGGGAAGGAUGAGAAGCUUCGACCAAGGUUCGACUUGAGCGCCAGCGAGAGAGCGUUGCCGCAGGCAACGACCCGAAGGGCGAAGCGCGCAGCGCUGAGUAAUCCUUCCCCCACCACCA